rnacentral:tRNA from 1 species
UUAUGAUUAGUGUAGUUUAUAAUGCACUUAAGGUUUUGAUUCUUAGAGAGUGGGUAAUUUCAUAUCAUGAA